rnacentral:rRNA from 1 species
GCUUACGGCCACACCACCCUGAGCGCGCCCGAUCUCGUCUGAUCUCGGAAGCUAAGCAGGGUCGGGCCUGGUUAGUACUUGGAUGGGAGACCGCCUGGGAAUACCAGGUGCCGGUAAGCU